rnacentral:lncRNA from 1 species
AAGUUAAGAAGUGGUCCAAGUCGGGUUCGGAAAGCGUUCAACUAAGUUGAUCAAGUCAGGAUCAACUUAGAUCCGAUGAUUAGAUUCAAAAGGAACAUCUCUUUGAGUCAAUUUUUAUGUGGAUCACCGUUGGAGGGUAUACGCUUGGGUACCUUAUGGAGAUAUUAAAAAUAGCAACUGAGAUAUUUAUAAAAUUAUAUGCUUCAUUUUAUUAUAGUUUAAUAAUUUGGUUGAAUGCAUCAAAGGAGAUCCUAGAAUUUAGGGUUUUGAGUGUUUUUGGAUUUCAUAAAUAUUUUGAAAUCCAACCUUCUGCUGCAUGAUCGGAAUCCAAUACUAACAUCUUCCACUCAUUAGACAACAAACAGCCAGCCAUCCUACUACUCUACUUCUUCUUCCACUCAGUGAGAUUCGUAAUCUCAACAAACUCCGAAACAUA